AUUGAACGCUGGCGGCAGGCCUAACACAUGCAAGUCGAGCGGGGUUUUCGAACCUAGCGGCGGACGGGUGAGUAAUGCGUAGGAAGCUACCCGAUAGAGGGGGAUACCAGUUGGAAACGACUGUUAAUACCGCAUAAUGUCUACGGACCAAAGUGUGGGACCUUCGGGCCACAUGCUAUCGGAUGCGCCUACGUGGGAGUAGCUAGUUGGUGAGGUAAUGGCUCACCAAGGCGACGAUCCCUAGCUGGUUUGAGAGGAUGAUCAGCCACACUGGAACUGAGACACGGUCCAGACUCCUACGGGAGGCAGCAGUGGGGAAUAUUGGACAAUGGGCGCAAGCCUGAUCCAGCCAUGCCGCGUGUGUGAAGAAGGCCUUCGGGUUGUAAAGCACUUUCAGUAGGGAGGAAGCGUUGUGUGUUAAUAGUACACAGCGUUGACGUUACCUACAGAAGAAGCACCGGCUAACUCUGUGCCAGCAGCCGCGGUAACAC
rnacentral:rRNA from 1 species